GUUGUGUGUUUUUGUUUUCC
rnacentral:miRNA from 1 species